rnacentral:lncRNA from 1 species
AGGAUCUCGCCACCGUCAAAGAUGCCAAUCUUUGCGCCGCCAGUCGCGAUCUUCUUCAUGCAGCUCUCGGCAUCGCCUUCGCCAGCAACGCUACAAGCAGAAGACAUGAGGUUUGGUUGCUUCUCCUCUUUUAAUUGUGCGACUAAACAAAGAUCUUACCAGCUGUGCUGGUGUUCUCUUUCAGGAUCAAUGCCGUCAAGGAUGGUGUUCAUCCUCUUGCACAAGUCAAGCUCGUCUUCGUCUUCCACGCACCACACCCAACCUGUUGCAGAGGAACAGGCGCUGCUAAGAUCUCUAAGCCAAGGCUCUGAAACUUACUUUCCUGGAAAGGAUCGUCGUCGUCAUCAUCGUCCCCGGAUGGAGGAGCUGCUGCUGGCCCCUGUGAAUCCACCUUGACCACAAAGAGCGCAACGCAGAUCAAAAGCAGCAACAACCACAGGUACGACCGCUCCAUUCUUCCCUGUAAGAAUUUUACCAAGCUUCCAUCAACAGGGAGAGAGGUCAAUCAACACUCGCGCAACGAGAGAGCAAGGAAAACAAGAAAGAACUUGUGAGGCGCCGAAGAGCCAGGCAGGAAGAUAAGGCCGUGCAAUGUGCUCAGCCUCGCAGCAGUGGC